UACGUAGGAGACGAGCGUUGUCCGGAGUUACUGGGCGUAAAGGGUGCGCAGGCGGCCUGGCGCGUCGCGAGUGAAAUCUCCUGGCUCAACUGGGAGGGUGGUCGCGAGACGGCUGGGCUUGAGGCUCGGUGAGGGGCGUGGAAUUCCGGGUGGAGCGGUGAAAUGCGUAGAGAUCCGGAGGAACACCGACGGCGUAGGCAGCGCCCUAGACGAGACUUGACGCUCAGGCACGAAAGCGCGGGGAGCGAACAGG
rnacentral:rRNA from 1 species